CAAUAGCGUAUAUUAAAGUUGUUGCGGUUAAAAAGCUCGUAGUUGGAUUUCUGCUGAGGACGACCGGUCCGCCCUCCGGGUGAGCAUCUGGUUCGGCCUUGGCAUCUUCUUGGUGAACGUAUCUGCACUUGACUGUGUGGUGCGGUACCCAGGACUUUUACUUUGAGGAAAUUAGAGUGUUUCAAGCAGGCAUACGCCUUGAAUACAUUAGCAUGGAAUAAUAAGAUAGGACCUCGGUUCUAUUUUGUUGGUUUCUAGAGCUGAGGUAAUGAUUAAUAGGGACAGUUGGGGGUAUUUGUAUUCCACGGUCAGAGGUGAAAUUCUUGGAUUCAUGGAAGACAAACUACUGCGAAAGCAUUUUACCAAGGAUGUUUUCAUUAAUCAAGAACGAAAGUUAGGGGAUCGAAGAUGAUUAGAU
rnacentral:rRNA from 1 species